CAUUCUCUGUUUCAACACAGUGAAGGUCUCUUGUAUUCUAUUUUUUUAUGGGAAUUUACAAUAACACAAAUCCUCCUUGAAAACUAUCUUAAUUCUUUUGGCUCGGAUGAGGAUUUUGAUGCCAACAUUUUCCGGGUCAUCAAUUUUUCCGUUUUCAGAAUCAUACAAAUGAAACAAGGAAGUAGCAAAAUGAGAAGGCUAAAUUUCUACAACUGAUCAACAUCCUAUCGUAAAGUUGGAGUCUAUUUAUCCUAAAGUUGCAGGGCAUUAGGCAUAGACAUCAACUUUUUCGCUUGUCAAGAGGAAAGCCUACUUCUCCCGAUUGAUUGAAUGAAGCUAUGGUUGGAAACUUGGACCAUAAUUGCAAAAUUCAGCAAUUACUUGCUAGACUGACAAGACAAUCAACACUGUGAGUAACUUGCAAUAUUACCUGGUGCUGAGUAAUGUGAAAAAUAAACUUGCAGUUAUUCUUAAAAAGUUGUCAGAUUCGUAAUAAAACAUGGUAAAACUUGACUCUGGGUUUAACUUGCUAGAGGCAGAAAAAUGAUUUUUGGGACAAUUUUAACAUGUUACCCAUGACUCAGAAAAUUAUGAUUGUAAGUUCCUUGUUUGAUGCCAACGAAAAUGCUCCUUUAGAAACCCAAUCCUUUGUUUUAGCUUGUUUGAUGCCACUGUAAAUGCCCCUUUAGAAACCCACAAUUUCUCUCAAUUGCUAAGAAAAACAUUUGAAUCCUAAUGCCCACAAUUGUAUAUGCAAAAACACGAUUGUAUUGCCUUGGUUUUCAACACAAAUGUGACCAAGAAGCCAUCCCCCAUGAUUGAAAAUGCUUGCCAAUUUCAAAUUGUGAACCAGUUUCCUUGGAUGUAUUCAUAACAUUACACAUCAACGGUGUUUGGAUCUUGCAAUGUUUAGAUGCAAAUAUGCCACGACUGUUCACACAUGUAUAUGCAAUCAUUAAACAACUAUUCACAAACUGAUAUGCAAUCUUAACAUGGUUGUUCAUGGAUAUGCAAUUUUUAUUGAUAUUGAAACUUAAAAUUCAUAUGCACUGAAAUAUUUUUUGAUCUAUGAUGUGUUUUGAACACUAAUUUUGAUUUAUAUAUAAAGGGAAUUAGGAAUAUGUUUAAUAAAUUCAUUAAUAUGCAUGUUUUGAAGGAUAUUUUAAAAAACUUGUAGUUUCUUAUGUUCGGUAAAUUUGCCAAGUUUAAAUUUUUCAACUAUGAUGUGAACCAAUUCCUAUGCAAUAAAGGAAUUGACAAUUUGUGAAAGGAAGCGAAUGACAAGCAUCCUCAACUUUGAUGCAUUCUUGUCAUGUCAUGUCGACCAUCCAAUAGGGCUGGAUUGAGUUAAUGUAAUUCUAUCUUUGCUUUUGGUUUGCUUAAAGUUGGACAACAAAGAUUGACAAAAAUAAGCCACUAUGUUGAAAGUAAAGCUUCUCUGUUCUAUACAUCUUUUGAAGGGUCUUCAUUAACCUUUCUUUCACCUUUUCAUCAUUAAAAAGAGACACUCUACUAGCCCUUGGUGCAUGCAAUUUGGAAUUUAGAGUAUAAAUUGCCAUAUGAAGUGAGGUGUUCAUAGCGUUCCACCUUUAUGUCACAAUAGACUUAUACAUCUGAUCAAAUCUCAAAUUAGGAUCCUUUCUUUGAAUUACUUGUUUUAUUUGUCUAGGCAUAUUGUCAAGCAUCUUGUAAACUUCUCCAAGAUUAGGAGAGUUUAUAUUAGCAUAUCUAAGGGCCCACACAACAGGUGAGAUGAAGGAGCAAACAUGUUUACAAACAAAAAUUUCAAAAAAGAGUAAGACUCAAAUGAUAGAGUGAAUGGUAAAGUGUAAACAAAAUAUUAAAAUAAUAUACAAGUUAUAAGCAUUAAUAAUUUGAUAAUUUAAUUAUAAAAUAAUAUUUCUCUGUUCUCGUAGUGGACCGCCAAUUAUCAUCAAGGAUCUUUUGCUUCACACUUUUUCCUUAAGCUAUGUUAACAUUUGGCCAUGUAUUCUACUUUGGAUUAGCCAUCACUAGUAAUAGAGGCUCUUUUAUCUCAAGUAUCCUUUGUAACAAAAUAAAAUAGCUAAAAUAUCUAGUCUCCAUGGAUUUGAAGAAUUCCUUAGUUGAAAAAGUCUGCAAAUGAACAUAUGUAUAUCUCUCACUUCUAUCACCACUUUUGUCAUAUCCCCGCCAAUCUAUGAGAUUGCAACCUCUAUAUAUGAGAUCACAGCCUUGCUAAAAAUCAGAUCACAGCACUUAAACUUAAACCUGAGUGGAUGAAAUAAGAGGGCAGCGAUUCAUUUAAGGAGGUCAAUUAAGUUUAAAACUAGGAAUAUCAUUUAACAGUAAUUCUUUAAGAAGUCAAUCAAAGAAUGUAUCAAAGAAUAUCUAGGACAGUGGUUCCCUAGAAUAAAAGGAUAUUUAAGUAAAAGUAAAUUAAGAUUCCAGGCCAGCAAUUAAGAUAAAUGGUUGUGACUCAUUCCAAAGGCAGAAAUGAUGAAGAGGUUCGUCUUCCUCAAAUGUAAAGAUAUAAGAAGGAAGAACAAAUCAUUUGGAGGGGAUCAUCUAACAGUCAAUUCAGAAAUGAAUCCAGCAUAACAAUGAAGGAAGGAUUAGUCAAUCGAGAAUGAUCAAUUCAGAAAUUGAUCCAAAUAUCAAUUCAUUCAACCAUAUACAAAAUCAGAAAUUCAUUCAAGAAUCAAUUCAUUCAAUCAUCACUCACCAAUACAUCAAAUGAUCAAUCAUUAAAUCAUCAAAGGAAACCGAUCAAUCAUGCUAACCUCAAACAUUCAAUAGAAAUCAAUCAAUCAUACAAACCUCAAUCAUUCAUGCAUCAAUUCAUUCAAAAAACAUUUAAUCAUCCACCAUCAAUCCUUCAAGAAACAACAAUAAAGAGAAAUCAAGCAAUUAGCAAUAAUCUAGCAAAUUCCUUGAGAAAUCAGUUUUGAAUUUGUGGGAGUGUCUUGCAAAUAGGAAGAGGACAAAAUCUCUUCCAAGUUCAUGAGAGAUGAAUAGACAGCCCCCCUUUCAUGCUCUUAUCAAGUUGAACAGAAUUUGGAAGGACAGCCUUCCAUGCCCUCGGGCUUAAUCAAGGAGGAUGGCAAGCCUCCAAGCUGUACUGGGAGAUAGAAGGGUUGCCCAACUCUCAUGCUUUUGGCAAGUCAAGGACAACUAGCCUUGAUAAUUGCCAUUUCCGUGCAUUUCCAAGGAAUUCACAAUUUGAUUGGCUGUGAGGAAUAUGCCAUAUGUGUUGAUCUGAAUAUUAUUGAUGCUAUGAUGUAUUGAUUUGAAUAUCAUUUUGAUUUCUUGAUCUUUAAUAUUUAUAAUAUCAGUUUUUAGUGAUUAAUAUUAUUGCAGGCAUAGAAAUUGGGAAUAUCCCCAAUAGGGACAUUACAACUUUCUUCAUCCAAUCUAUUUUCUUCGUGUCUUUUGGGCAUUGUUCAAUGCAUGAACACAAAACAUGGUUCAAAAAUUUUGCUUGUAAGCACCCUGCAACAUUGUGGUAGUUGAUUUACACACAUUGAAUCAAUGACCACCCAAACAAUAUUUGAGGCCCCAACCUUCUCUAUGACCUCCUUCAAAAUUUGAAAUUGGAAGCUUGCACCUCAUAAUUCUCUAAACAAUCAACAGUAGUAAGAAAACAACCAACUGCACAUAUGAUUAUGAUAUUGAUGAGUGACUGAUGUUUAAUAUCGGUUCACCUAUCCGUGAUAAUAGAGUAGCUCAUCCUUAGCCAAGUGUGCUUCAUGUCCUCCAUCACCAAAUUUACCUUAUAAUAUUCUUUAUCAAGAAGGCUUGUGCAUAGUUUAUGCUAUUUAAGGGGGUUGGUAAAUGAUUUUGACCAACAUAAAUUACAUCUUUAAACAUUUGUUUGAAAUAGGGAGAAUGUGUCACAUGAAAUGGGAUAGCAUGGGCAAAGAAAAAUUUGGCAAUCGAAGACUAUCAUUUCCCUUUGAUUUCAUGUCGAACAUCUCUGCAAUUGUCCUAGACUUUUCAUUAGUCUUUGUCUUUCCUCUUGUAGAAACAUCACCAACCUUGGAUGAUAUAACAGAUUCUAUAGGCUCUACUAGCACACCCUUAGAUCUUGUUUUUCUCUCCAUAGACAAUCUAUUUACCUCUGCCUUCUCAACUAUAGUUAUCUUUUGAUAGACCUUAACUCUUUGUCCUAUAAUGUCCAAAAACUGACUAGCUACCUUGUUGUAGUUCCCUCAGAAAUUUUUGUUGCACAAAUGACACAACUGAACUCUAGUCCCUCUUGAAAGUUUAUUUUAUCUUUGUUACAAAUUGCAUAAGAGCUUUAGAGGGUUUCAAUGGGCCCUUUGCUUAAACUCUUAUGGCAUCCAAAAUGUGUUAUGUAACUACCCCACUUCGCUCAUGGCACACCCACACCCUAAUGAACCCCUGACCCCCCUACCACCUUGCACCUCUUAUUUGUUACAUGCCGACACUUUCAUGUCCACUGCUGCUCAUGAUAUUGUUUUGAGAAAAAAGAAUAGUCCAAAAUGCAAACUGAAAGUGAAAAAAAAAAUCACUCUUGAAAGCUGAAAUUGAAAGAUUGAUAUAAAAGAAAACUCAGAAAAUAACAAAACAUAUACUUGCCUCUGCUACUGCUCUUCUUCUCAUCACUAAUGCUGCUGCCCUUAUUUGUAAGGUUCAAGUUCAUUAAUCCAGUGUUCAAUUUUUUUUUUACAUUCAGGUACCUGCUGAGGGUGCUCAUUUUUGUUUUGGUUACAAAUUGUAGUCAAUGGGAAUAAAAUUGAGCUAUUUUAGGGCUAUGAAAAUGGUUUGUGGGUGCCUUAGUAGUCUUAAUAUUUUUUAAUUAUUUGAUCUGAGGAACACAAGUUUUUUUUAUGUUUUCUAAAAUUUUCUGGAUGGGGCCAUCCCUGCUAUUACCUGCUGUUUCCAAAAUGUCCUGGGAAGAGGGAUGCUGGGAAAAGUUCUGGUGAUGUGUACCUGGGGAACAUAGGAUAAAAGAGUAAAAAAGAGUCUUAUCCAUGACUAAAAGCUUAUGAGCUGUGAAUUGUUAUUUUUUAAGAUUUUUACUCUGAAGGCAUGUACCAUUCGCAUAUAGGAGGUCAUACAUCCAUGAUCACAAAAUAAAAGAGCAGCAAAUAUUAUUUAAGAUAUUAUAAAUAUUAUUAAUUCAUUUUAGAUUUUAAGAGCUAGAUGGAAUUUAGAUGAUAGGAUAAUAAAAUAUUACAAUAAGAUUUUGCAUUCCUUGCUGAUGAAGGCAACCCUUUUAGUAUGAAGUAUGAACACCCCAAAAAAACUUGUGGCUAAAAUGGUCACAUGCUUUGUCCUCAUUUUCAUUUGUUUAAUGAUUUAUUCAUUGUUUGAGAAACAUGUAGUAUGUUCCAUGUUAGUGUUGGUUUGCAUGUCUUUUUGCUUAUUGGUCAUCCGUCUUUCCCACUAUUGGCCAUGAAAAACAGACCAGAAUACCAGCAAGUCUAUGGGUUAAGACUUAACAAAUAUCUCAAUCUUUGGUCGGACUCUUGAUGCAUUGCUUAAUUGCACUUGUAACUGUAUCUGGUGAGUUUGCGAGCAUAUAACUUGACACAGUCCCUUUGAUUAUUGUCAGCAAGUCUCAUCAUCAUAUCAUCAAGUUCUUUGAACUGACACCUUCAUGGCAGCUAAAUUUUCUUCUCUGAAUACCUGAAAUAGGACCUGCUCUCUACAUAUUGAUGCUUUAGAUGGCUCGUUUAUUAAUCCUUAAUGUUCAUAAACCUGUUAAUUAUCCAUACAAUGACUUAUCAAUCCCUCAUACCACAUGGAAUCUCUGUUCUUGCUGCUGAAAUCUAUAAAGAUGCAUACAUAAACAACAGAUAAAACAAAGAGACAGCCACCAAAAUGGCAAAACAUGUAGUUUUACACUCUUCAUUAGCAUGAAUUCAAUAGAUGGUAUUAGGACGAGGGUGAGUGUUGAUUGGAUAAGACCAAGCACAACCAAGAAGAAAAAACACAAAGCAAAAAGCUAAUUAUAAAGAUAUCAAAAUAUUUACAAAAAGUCUUUUUCAUCACUUCUUGGUGAAUCCACUAAGUUGAAGCUUUUACUCUACUUAAAAAUGGAAUAAGAGGAUUUGAAUUGAUGAAUUCAAGGGUGAUAUAUUGGUGUCAAGAUGCCUAUCCCUUGAAAGAUGCUGCUCCUCGUGAUAUAUUGGGUUUAGGUAGAUUAGCAUGCAGAUGAAAUAUAAUGCAGAUUACCAUUCAGAUGAAAAAGAUAUGAAAAUGGUGGGAAAACAUGAAAUAUAGAUCUAUACGAUUGGCCAAUCAAACAAUAUUGUUUGAACUUGAACCUAUCUGCCACUUCUACCCUAUUAUUGAUUCGCUACCAUUCUAGCUCUUUUUCACUACUGUCCCUUCUUGACCCUAUUUUUUCUGAUGAACUCAAGCAAAGGAACAGGUGCCCCUUCUCUGCAUUUUGAUGUUGACAACUUGAAGGGCAAAGAGGACAGUUUUCUCUUCUUGCCCUGUUAUUUUCUUUGGACCAGCCAUGACAACCUGGGACCUCCCAUGUGCAUGUUGGGGUGCUCAACCAUCGAGCUAUCACUUAUCUUCAUAGUUACCAGGAGACACGUCUCCUACCCCUGGAGACCCGUACUGGUACUGGAGACGUAUUGGAGAUGCUUCUCCGGUACCAGAUACUUCUCCGGAAACUUCUUGACACAUAAGAUGCUUUUGGAUGUUGUCUCCUGUCGUCUCGUCUCCCGACUAAAAAUUGACGUCUCCUCCUAGAAAACUUAGGGCAAAAUGCAGUAAAAAGACAAAAAAAAAUAAAGCAAACAAAUAAGAUAAGCUUGCAACAAAGCAAAGUCAUAGGGAAAUGACUAAUAAGGAAAAUGUUUCACAGGAAGACAAAAAUCCAUGCAAAGUUAUACUGAUCGGAUUUAUUGAUAGUGUAGACUUUUUGAGAGGACUGAUUUCUUAUCAUUGUAAAUUUGUAAUGGUCUAAAGAGACAUUGCCUUUAUUAUUUAGCCAACAAUAUUGAGUGUGCUCAAUAUCUAUAUUACCUUACUUUCACUAAACAAUUUAGACUGGCUAUCGUAUCAGCAAUAUAAGCAAUUUUAAUUUCAAUUUUUGUUCAAUUUUAAAGUUAAUGUUAAACUUUAAAACUGUUCUUGUUUUCAAAGUUCUCUGUCAUGAUAUGUUUUGGAAAUUAUUAAAUAUCAUUUAUUAAAAAAAUUGGUGUC